rnacentral:rRNA from 1 species
UACGUAGGAUGCAAGCGUUGUUCGGAAUUACUGGGCGUAAAGAGUACGUAGGCGGUUUGAUAAGUCUGCUAUUAAAGACUGGAGCUUAACUCCAGGACUGUAGUGGAAACUGUCAGACUAGAGGACAAUAGAGGAAGUCGGAAUUCUCAGUGUAGCGGUGAAAUGCGUAGAUAUUGGGAAGAACACCAGUGGCGAAAGCGGACUUCUGGGUUGUUACUGACGCUGAGGUACGAAAGCGUGGGGAGCAAACAGG